rnacentral:lncRNA from 1 species
CUUGCAAGCCCUAAUCCUAGUCAAUGAGCUUUGGUGAGCUAUAACUUCUAAUUUGACUAUCCACUUGAUACAAAAUUUUGUAUAAAAAUUCUACUAUAAACCUUCUAUAUAUUAAAAAAAAUUCAAUCGAAUCUAAUUUAUAAAUUAUGAAGAAAAGCCUAAAAAUCACAUUGAUAUCACUUGGCCAUCAAUUUAGAAGUUAAUACAAAUGUUUCAAUUGUAAUUUCUUUUUUUUCAACUAUUAAUUUUAAUUU